UUUUAUCGGCUGCAACAGUAUCUACAGUACUGGAUAGCGAGUCAGAUGAUGUAGAGCCCAUGGAGGACAUUUAUUCCUACAUAGAGGAGGAGCCCGCUGCUGGGUUGCCAGCAUUUCCUCCGAAUUCUCCCAGUACCAGUACUGUUGUGAUUCAGCACUCGGCACAGUACUUUGAGUAGAGUCUUCAUCCGAUGAACUUUGAGAGAGAUUAGGCUUGAUCUAUGAUGUUGACUAUCCUUGAUGGGAGAGACGCAGCUCUAUUAGAGAGAGACG
rnacentral:lncRNA from 1 species